UCCAGGUUCAGCCUAGGCACACUCAGUAUCCAACACAGGCUGGAGAUGAAAUAAGGAAACUCUUUUGGGCAUAGCUGUAAGGUCAACAAAUUGGAAAAAGCCACAAUUCACCCUUGGGAAGGAUUAAAUAUGCCGACAUCCUCCAAAUUGAUUUACCUAGAUCAGACCACAUGUUAAUGAGGCAGACAAGUUACUCUAAUUCAUCGUUACUAUUCUAAAUGCAGGGACCUUUUCACAUUGAAGAGGCGGGGCAAUGGAUUCAAAUGAGCAUCACUCACUUACGGCUUGUCACUCACCCUUGCUAGGCCAAAGCCAUUUAUAAUUGCUGUCAUCUAAACUGCACUGAAACGAACUGGACAUUCAAAGAGCGCAGCUCCCAAGAAACAAAGGCUAAUAAGAGCAGUUACCAGCAUUUUUGGAACAAAGCAGACGGAAGCUGGGAUAGGAGGAAAGAAGAGGACAGAAGCAGAGACAGAGUUCUAAUGAGACAUUUCACCAAGAUUUAUGAAGGCUCCUUCUUGAGCAAACUACAGUGCGAGGUGAUCUGGGGACUAUUGUACAUGAAGCCAUGCAGCUUUGUCUGAAAGAUACCUACUCAAGUAAGUUUUAAUUUUGCAACUCUUUUGGUUAAGCUAAUUUUUUAAAAUUACAAAAAACACUAAGUAUUAUGCAAAUGUUUACAAAGCAAUGACUUUCUUAGGAAAUUAAACACAACUUUUGGCACUUUACAUAUAAGACAACAUUUUGUGGAGAAUAAAGGAGUCUAUAACACCGCUUUUAUAUAACUGAGCAAUCAAAAUGUAUGAAUAUAAAAUUUAAAAAAUUGAAUGAGUCCACUCUGUGAAAAUAAGGCUUUAAAAUCAGUUGGAAUUAAUGUAACCUGAACUUUCAUUUUAAAUACAUGGCAUAAAAUUUAAUUUUAAAAUACUCAAUUAUUAUAAUGUGCCCUCUAAGGAUGGAAGAGAAAUAGUAUCUUUUCUAAAGUGUUCAUUAUAAUAAUUAUGAAAGGAUUUUAAAAAUACAGAACACUGGAAAAAAUGUAUGAGAAAAGAAAUAAAAGUCACCAAAUGCUAUCAUCUAAAGAUAGAAUAUUAAUAUUUAACAAACUGUAUUCUACCAUUUUUCUAAUACCAUCAUGUUCAAAGCAGCCUUAAUUUAGUUUCUAAAAUAGUAACAGAAUGUUUGAUACCUGGGGCUACUUUUUAACUGUGUGUUUCUAACAUUAUACAUUUUUCCUUAUAUUUGAAGUGUUUAAUAGUGCUCACAUUGCUUUCUAGCACCUCUGGAUGAGCCCUGUGAGAAAGCUCUCCAACACAGGGGAGGGAAUGAGGCUCUGACAAGCACAGCAAGCACACACGGCCUGGACACGCUGCCGAGGAGCCUCUGCUUUUAACCCUCCAGGCUUUCCAGAUACUUUCCUGAGUGAACUUUUGGUGUCCCCUUUCAUAAUAUAAGCUCCAGAAAGCGGAAGUUCAAUUAAACCAGAAAAACCUGUUUAAUUGAAGCCAACCAUUGUUUAUUGAACACUGAUUGGUGGAAAGCACUGUGGUAAGUGUUGAGGAAACAAGCUUGGUAAGACACAGUCUGUGCCUUAUGUUUGCUUCCCACUCUCAUCAGUCUUGACCAGGGAUUGGCAAAUGUUUUCUUAAAGGUUCAGAUAGUAAAUAUUUUAGACUUGUGGGCCAUAUAGUCUCUAUCAAAACUAUUCAACUCUGCAGCUGAAGCAUGAAAGUAACCAAAAACAAUACAUGAAUGGAUGGGUGUGGUUGUGUUCCAAUAAAACUUUUUUUACCAAAAACAGAUAGCAGGCUGAAUUCAGCUUAUGGUUUGCAGACCUCUCGUCUUGACCAUUUCUGGUUAGUGCAUCAAGCCACCAGCUGAGCUUCAGUUUUUAUAUAACAGUGAUAGUCAUGAUAUGAAUUGGGAGCUUAUCAGAAUCUCUGAGCAUAAGAUUAUAACAUAAACAUCUCUCCAUCCUUUUAUUUAUUAUGCAUUAAACAAAAAACUUUCUCUGCCUACCCCUUUAAAGACUCAUUCAACCACCACUCUGCUCCAGCAGAGAAAAAGAUGUGUGUUUUGGUUUCCUCCACAAGGAAUGAUUAGGGAAAUGGUUAGAGACUUGCUGUAUAACAUUAGAGACUUGCUCAGAUAAAUAGGCCUUCACUUUAACUGUGGUAUAAAUGAAGCAGCCGAGAGAAUGACAGCAUCAUUAAUUCAAGGAAUAUUUAUUGAGCACCUACUAUGUGAAAGGUCCUGGAAUACAGGUAUUAGAGAAGUGGUAAACAAAAGACACAGGCUCUCCAUCUCUUAUAAAGCUUAGAAUCUGACUAGGAGACACACAAUCUGUACAUAAACACAAAAGAUAUAAAUGAUUAUUAAUUAAAAAAGAAAAUGAGUAAUAUGAAAGAAAUUCACAGUUUGUCAUGAGAAUAAAUAUGGAGUGAACCUAAUGAAGCUUGGAGGUCAAGGAGGAUCUGUUUAAGGAAAUGACCUUUAAACUAAGACCUGAAAAAUGGGCAGAAAUUAGGUGAAGAGUAGGCAAUGGGAAAGAUUACAGGUUAAAU
rnacentral:lncRNA from 1 species